UCUUGGUAUAAAAGGAAAUUAACUGCUUAAGACAGAAAAAAGGAAGAUAGCUACACAGAGAAAAAAAGGAGAAAGAGAGACCGAGAGAUAGAGAAAUAGAGAGGCAGAGAACGCAGAAGGAGAGAGAGAUCGAGAGAUCAAAAACUGCACGCUCUAAAAACUGAAACCCAAAACACACAAUCAUCCAUUCUUUCCAUUUGUUAACACAAACGGCCUAAAGAAAAGAUUUUCCCUGCCAAUGAAAAAGAAAAAACAGAAGCCAAUUGACAUAUAUCCAUGGUUUGCAAUCAAGAAUGAAAAGAAGUCUCUCACUUUCCUGUCAGAUUUCUUCAUCUAACUGUCCGUUAAUUUCUUUCAUCAUUUAACAUUCUCAUAUGCACGCCCUCAAGUUCAACCAGUAUAUAAGUGUUGGGGUUGAACGGAAUCUACAAAUGUCUAUAUUUAUUCCUCACAGAAGGGACAUGAUAGACGGAAGAUAAGAAGGGAAAACAAUAUUUGGUCAAUUGGAAAGGAGCAAGAACAAAAAGAACAACUGAGAUAUAAAAUGAGCAUUGAGCACAUAACCACACAAAAAGCAAUGUAAAGGCACAUUGGAAUUCAAAAGGAAAAAAAGUUAGCUGAUGCUGAAUCAGCAUCUUCAAAUGCACUUGGUUGGAUUGUUUUAGAUUUAGAUAUUUGAGUUAGAUUUGGUUAAAUUAGUUUUUGGUAUCUGCCUAUGGUGUUUGUAAUUAGAUUUGUAAAUGGAGAUAUGUGUUGGGUGUUUAGUAU